rfam:Gossypium raimondii chromosome 9, whole genome shotgun sequence.
AUCCCAUGAUGAGGGCAUCUACUUAGUAACUCCUUGAAUCUUUUCCACGCCUCUUAUAGGGACUCAUCAUCCAUUUGUUGAAAAGUGGUCAUCUCAUUCUGCAACAU